rnacentral:rRNA from 1 species
AAUGGGUCAGCGACUUAUAUUCUGUAGCAAGGUUAACCGAAUAGGGGAGCCGAAGGGAAACCGAGUCUUAACUGGGCGUUAAGUUGCAGGGUAUAGACCCGAAACCCGGUGAUCUAGCCAUGGGCAGGUUGAAGGUUGGGUAACACUAACUGGAGGACCGAACCGACUAAUGUUGAAAAAUUAGCGGAUGACUUGUGGCUGGGGGUGAAAGGCCAAUCAAACCGGGAGAUAGCUGGUUCUCCCCGAAAGCUAUUUAGGUAGCGCCUCGUGAAUUCAUCUCCGGGGGUAGAGCACUGUUUCGGCAAGGGGGUCAUCCCGACUUACCAACCCGAUGCAAACUGCGAAUACCGGAGAAUGUUAUCACGGGAGACACACGGCGGGUGCUAACGUCCGUCGUGAAGAGGGAAACAACCCAGACCGCCAGCUAAGGUCCCAAAGUCAUGGUUAAGUGGGAAACGAUGUGGGAAGGCCCAGACAGCCAGGAUGUUGGCUUAGAAGCAGCCAUCAUUUAAAGAAAGCGUAAUAGCUCACUGGUCGAGUCGGCCUGCGCGGAAGAUGUAACGGGGCUAAACCAUGCACCGAAGCUGCGGCAGCGACGCUUAUGCGUUGUUGGGUAGGGGAGCGUUCUGUAAGCCUGCGAAGGUGUGCUGUGAGGCAUGCUGGAGGUAUCAGAAGUGCGAAUGCUGACAUAAGUAACGAUAAAGCGGGUGAAAAGCCCGCUCGCCGGAAGACCAAGGGUUCCUGUCCAACGUUAAUCGGGGCAGGGUGAGUCGACCCCUAAGGCGAGGCCGAAAGGCGUAGUCGAUGGGAAACAGGUUAAUAUUCCUGUACUUGGUGUUACUGCGAAGGGGGGACGGAGAAGGCUAUGUUGGCCGGGCGACGGUUGUCCCGGUUUAAGCGUGUAGGCUGGUUUUCCAGGCAAAUCCGGAAAAUCAAGGCUGAGGCGUGAUGACGAGGCACUACGGUGCUGAAGCAACAAAUGCCCUGCUUCCAGGAAAAGCCUCUAAGCAUCAGGUAACAUCAAAUCGUACCCCAAACCGACACAGGUGGUCAGGUAGAGAAUACCAAGGCGCUUGAGAGAACUCGGGUGAAGGAACUAGGCAAAAUGGUGCCGUAACUUCGGGAGAAGGCACGCUGAUAUGUAGGUGAAGUCCCUUGCGGAUGGAGCUGAAAUCAGUCGAAGAUACCAGCUGGCUGCAACUGUUUAUUAAAAACACAGCACUGUGCAAACACGAAAGUGGACGUAUACGGUGUGACGCCUGCCCGGUGCCGGAAGGUUAAUUGAUGGGGUCAGCGCAAGCGAAGCUCUUGAUCGAAGCCCCGGUAAACGGCGGCCGUAACUAUAACGGUCCUAAGGUAGCGAAAUUCCUUGUCGGGUAAGUUCCGACCUGCACGAAUGGCGUAAUGAUGGCCAGGCUGUCUCCACCCGAGACUCAGUGAAAUUGAACUCGCUGUGAAGAUGCAGUGUACCCGCGGCAAGACGGAAAGACCCCGUGAACCUUUACUAUAGCUUGACACUGAACAUUGAGCCUUGAUG